UUAAGUGACUAAGCGUACACGGUGGAUGCCUAGGCAGUCAGAGGCGAUGAAGGACGUGCUAAUCUGCGAUAAGCGUCGGUAAGCUGAUAUGAAGCGUUAUAACCGACGAUUUCCGAAUGGGGAAACCCAGUGCAACUCGUUGCACUAUCGUUAAGUGAAUACAUAGCUUAACGAAGCGAACCAGGGGAACUGAAACAUCUAAGUACCCUGAGGAAAAGAAAUCAACCGAGAUUCCCCUAGUAGCGGCGAGCGAACGGGGAGCAGCCCAGAACCUUAAUCAGCGUAUGUGUCAGAGGAACGGUCUGGAAAGUCCGGCGAUACAGGGUGAUAGCCCCGUACUUGAAAAUACAUAUGCUGUGAGUUCGAUGAGUAGGGCGGGACACGUGACAUCCUGUCUGAAUAUGGGGGGACCAUCCUCCAAGGCUAAAUACUCCUGACUGACCGAUAGUGAACCAGUACCGUGAGGGAAAGGCGAAAAGAACCCCGGCGAGGGGAGUGAAAUAGAACCUGAAACCGUGUACGUACAAGCAGUGGGAGCCUCUUUUAUGGGGUGACUGCGUACCUUUUGUAUAAUGGGUCAGCGACUUAUAUUUUGUAGCAAGGUUAACCGAAUAGGGGAGCCGUAGGGAAACCGAGUCUUAACUGGGCGUCAAGUUGCAAGGUAUAGACCCGAAACCCGGUGAUCUAGCCAUGGGCAGGUUGAAGGUUGGGUAACACUAACUGGAGGACCGAACCGACUAAUGUUGAAAAAUUAGCGGAUGACUUGUGGCUGGGGGUGAAAGGCCAAUCAAACCGGGAGAUAGCUGGUUCUCCCCGAAAGCUAUUUAGGUAGCGCCUCGUGAACUCAUCUUCGGGGGUAGAGCACUGUUUCGACUAGGGGGUCAUCCCGACUUACCAACUCGAUGCAAACUACGAAUACCGAAGAAUGUUAUCACGGGAGACACACGGCGGGUGCUAACGUCCGUCGUGAAGAGGGAAACAACCCAGACCGCCAGCUAAGGUCCCAAAGUCAUAGUUAAGUGGGAAACGAUGUGGGAAGGCAUAGACAGCCAGGAUGUUGGCUUAGAAGCAGCCAUCAUUUAAAGAAAGCGUAAUAGCUCACUGGUCGAGUCGGCCUGCGCGGAAGAUGUAACGGGGCUAAACUAUGCACCGAAGCUGCGGCAGCGACACUUAGGUGUUGUUGGGUAGGGGAGCGUUCUGUAAGCCUGUGAAGGUGACCUGUGAGGGUUGCUGGAGGUAUCAGAAGUGCGAAUGCUGACAUAAGUAACGAUAAAGCGGGUGAAAAACCCGCUCGCCGGAAGACCAAGGGUUCCUGUCCAACGUUAAUCGGGGCAGGGUGAGUCGACCCCUAAGGCGAGGCCGAAAGGCGUAGUCGAUGGGAAACAGGUUAAUAUUCCUGUACUCGGUGUUACUGCGAAGGGGGGACGGAGAAGGCUAGGCUAUCCGGGCGACGGUUGUCCCGGUUUAAGCGUGUAGGGGGUGUGACUUGGUAAAUCCGGUCGCAUAUCAACCCUGAGGCGUGAUGACGAGUCACUACGGUGAUGAAGUAGUUGAUGCCAAGCUUCCAGGAAAAGCCUCUAAGCUCUAGGUAACAUUGAAUCGUACCCCAAACCGACACAGGUGGUCAGGUAGAGAAUACCAAGGCGCUUGAGAGAACUCGGGUGAAGGAACUAGGCAAAAUGGUGCCGUAACUUCGGGAGAAGGCACGCUGGCGCGUAGGUGAAGUCCCUUGCGGAUGGAGCUGAAGCCAGUCGAAGAUACCAGCUGGCUGCAACUGUUUAAUAAAAACACAGCACUGUGCAAACACGAAAGUGGACGUAUACGGUGUGACGCCUGCCCGGUGCUGGAAGGUUAAUUGAUGGGGUCAGCCGCAAGGCGAAGCUCUUGAUCGAAGCCCCAGUAAACGGCGGCCGUAACUAUAACGGUCCUAAGGUAGCGAAAUUCCUUGUCGGGU
rnacentral:rRNA from 1 species